UACGGAGUGUGCAAGCGUUACUCGGAAUCACUGGGCAUAAAGCGCGCGUAGGCGGGCUUUCAAGUCGGUUGUGAAAUCCCUCAGCUCAACUGAGGAACUGCAUCCGAUACUGUUUGUCUUGAGGACGAGAGGGGAGAGUGGAACUUCUGGUGGAGCGGUGAAAUGCGUAGAUAUCGGAAGGAACACCGGUGGCGAAAGCGGCGCGCUGGAUCUCUUCUGACGCUGAGGCGCGAAAGCCAGGGGAGCAAACGGG
rnacentral:rRNA from 1 species